GCAGCUGUGGUGGAACUGGUAGACACGCUAUCUUCAGGCGGUAGUGGAUAAUAUCCAUGUGAGUUCGAGUCUCAUCAGCUGCA
rnacentral:tRNA from 1 species